rnacentral:piRNA from 1 species
UGCCACUGUUCUCAGUACCUCUCAGGAUCC